GACGAACGCUGGCGGCGGGCUUAACACAUGCAAGUCGAACGGAAAGGCCCUGCUUGUGUGUGGUGCUCGAGUGGCGAACGGGUGAGUAACACGUGAGUAACCUGCCCUUGACUUUGGGAUAACUUCAGGAAACUGGGGCUAAUACCGGAUAGGAGCUCCUGCUGCAUGGUGGGGGUUGGAAAGUUUCGGCGGUUGGGGGUGGACUCGCGGCUUAUCAGCUUGUUGGGGGGGUAGUGGCUUACCAAGGCUUUGACGGGUAGCCGGCAUGAGAGGGUGGACGGCCACAUUGGGACUGCGAUACGGACCAGACUCCUACGGGAGGCAGCAGUGGGGAAUAUUGCACAAUGGGCGGAAGCCUGAUGCAGAAACGCCGCGUGCGGGAUGAAGGCCUUCGGGUUGUAAACCGCUUUAGCCUGUGACGAAGCGUGAGUGACGGUAAUGGGUAAAGAAGCACCGGCUAACUACGUG
rnacentral:rRNA from 1 species